rnacentral:rRNA from 1 species
GAUGAACGCUGGCGGCGUGCCUAAUACAUGCAAGUCGAGCGAGGGAAGCUUGCUUCCCUAGCGGCGAACGGGUGAGUAACACGUAGGCAACCUACCUUUCAGUUUGGGACAACCGAGGGAAACCUUGGCUAAUACCGGAUGCGUAUAAGAGAGGCAUCUCUCCUAUAUAAAAGGGGCUCCAAAGCCUCGCUGAUAGAUGGGCCUGCGGCGCAUUAGCUAGUUGGUGAGAUAACAGCCCACCAAGGCGAGGAUGCGUAGCCGACCUGAGAGGGUGGUCGGCCACAUUGGAACUGAGACACGGUCCAAACGCCUACGGGAGGCAGCAGUAAGGAGUAUUCGGCAAUGGGGGAAACCCUGACCGAGCAACGCCGCGUGAAGGAUGAAGGUCCUCUGGAUUGUAAACUUCUGUUGUAAGGGAUGAAUGGUAGUGAGAGGAAAUGCUCGCUAUUUGACAGUACCUUAUCAGAAAGUCACGGCUAACUACGUGCCAGCCGCCGCGGUAAGAC